rnacentral:misc_RNA from 1 species
AGCAGCCGCGGUAAUUCCAGCUCCAAUAGCGUAUAUUAAAGUUGUUGCAGUUAAAAAGCUCGUAGUUGAAUUUCGGGAUUGACACAUCGGUCGUGCCUUAAGGGGUAUGAACUGGUGUAGUCAAUUUCUCACCUUCUGGAGAACCGCGAUGCCCUUAAUUGGGUGCCGCGGGGAACCAGGACCUUUACUUUGAAAAAAUUUAGAGUGUUUAAAGCAGGCAUUUUGCUUGAAUACAUUAGCAUGGAAUAAUAAAAUAGGACGGCAUGAUUCUAUUUUGUUGGUUUCUAGGAUCACCGUAAUGAUUAAUAGGGAUAGUUGGGGGCAUUAGUAUUCAAUUGUCAGAGGUGAAAUUCUUGGAUUUAUUGAAGACUAACUACUGCGAAAGCAUUUGCCAAGGAUGUUUUCAUUAAUCAAGAACGAAAGUUAGGGGAUCGAAGACGAUCAGAUACCGUCGUAGUCUUAACCAUAAACUAUGCCGACUAGGAAUCAGACGAUGUUAAUUUUUUAAUGACUCGUUUGG